rnacentral:rRNA from 1 species
CGUGUAGGCGGUUUGGUAAGUCAGAUGUAAAGGUCCCGGCUUAACCGGGAUGGUCAUUUGAAACUGCCAGGCUUGAGUUCGAGAGAGGGUAGCGGAAUUCCCAGUGUAGCGGUGAAAUGCGUAGAUAUUGGGAAGAACACCAGUAGCGAAGGCGGCUACCUGGCUCGCAACUGACGCUAAGGCGCGAAAGCGUGGGGAGCAAACA